rnacentral:rRNA from 1 species
AGAGAUCGGGCGUUCCCCCUUCGGGGGGACAGGGUGACAGGUGGUGCAUGGUUGUCGUCAGCUCGUGUCGUGAGAUGUUGGGUUAAGUCCCGCAACGAGCGCAACCCUCGACCUUAGUUGCCAGCAUUCAGUUGGGCACUCUAAGGUGACUGCCGGCUAAAAGUCGGAGGAAGGUGGGGAUGACGUCAAAUCAUCAUGCCCCUUAUGACUUGGGCUACACACGUGCCACAAUGGGCGGUACAAAGGGUCGCGAACCCGCGAGGGGGAGCCAAUCCCAAAAAGCCGCUCUCAGUUCGGAUUGCAGGCUGCAACUCGCCUGCAUGAAGCCGGAAUCGCUAGUAAUCGCGGAUCAGCAUGCCGCGGUGAAUACGUUCCCGGGCCUUGACACACCGA